rfam:Salmo salar isolate Sally breed double haploid chromosome ssa28, whole genome shotgun sequence.
AAUGCACCAAUUUGUAAGUCGCUUUGGAAAAGAGCGUCUGCUAAAUGACGUAAA